GACAUCCGACGUCAUGACGUCACGCCCACACUUGCCAGAAACCGGAAGAGAGCUUCAAGAUGGUGGAGGGAAGCCAAAUAAUGAGAAACAGCUGCUCUUGAUCUGGUUCUUAAUUUAUUGCACAUUGUAUAUAAAUUGGUGCAUGUUACUGCAUGUUUAAGGACAUUUGCAUUGAAAAAGGGCUUGUGCCCAAAAUGUUUGCC